rnacentral:tRNA from 1 species
GGGGAUGCAGUUUAAGUGGUAGAGUGCUUGCCUAAUAUGCAUGCCACCUGGGUUCAAUUCCUAGUAACACCA